GAAAGACUCACUGAGGGGCUGGGGAAGGGGAGAAAAAGACACACAAAGGUGCGGAUGGAAGUAAGGAUGGCAUAAAGUGGAUGCAGGGAAGUAAGAGACACACAAAGGGGCUGGAGGAAGUAUGAGACACACACAGGCUGGAGGGAAGUAAGAGACACACAAAGGGGUAGGGGAAAAAUAAGAGACACACAAAGGAAAAAAAUGGAGAUAAGAUACACUAUAGGGGGGUGUACAUGAAAGGGGGGUAAG